CAAUAUCCUUUUGUUGUGAAAAGUCUCUAUUCACUUGAAGACACUCCUUAGGCAUAUGGCCAUUAUCGCAUCUCAUUCUCCGAAGAUAAUCCCACAAAUAUUUAUUGAACACUUACAAUGUGUCAUCCGGUGCUGGGCAACAAGGUGACAAAGAUGCGUGAGAAAAACACAUUAUCAUUUUUAAUGACUGAGAAUAUUAUAUGGUAGAUAUGUCAUAAUUUAUUCUCUUAGCCUCUUCCUCUUGGAUAUUUAGAUUAUUUCCACAUUUUUCCCUGUAACAAAUACAAUGCGAUAAAUCGACAUCCUUCCAACUAAAUCUGUGCCCACAUAGAGGAUAAUUUCCUUACUUUAAAUUCUGAAAGUAGGCAAAGAAUAUGUAAUAUUUUAAUGCUUUGAUGUUUAUUACCAAAUUGCUCUCCUGUUGUCUUAACUUUGUUUCUUAUGAUUAAACUCUGCUAUAUUUUUGUUUGUACAAAUAAGGCAGGCCUUCAAUUCAGUAAGUAAUCACAACUAAGUUAGUGUUAUUUUGAGUUUUAAUAACUGUAUCCUUGAUUCAGAGCAUUUCCAUAUCAUUUACUUUAUCUUUCCAACUCCCAGCCCCCACAACGCCAAAAAAGGACUAGUAUGAUAUUUAUUUCAUUUUCUCUGUAGGAGAAAUCAAGGCACGUGGAAGCUACGUAACUACCUAAGUUUCCACAUAUACUGGCACUUGUUCAGAGGAACUCUGUGUAACUAAUGUAAUUUUAGUUGCAGUGGACGUCGUAAUUGACUCAGUUGGUCAGUCUAGCUACUCAUAGUAAUUGGCUGCCCUUGACCAUGAUUGGUUCUCAAAUUGCUGGCCCACGGUGGACUGGGCCAGUGAGAUUCAAAGAGAAGUUUCCUGGGGCUUCUGGGUAAAAAGCUUUCUCAAUAUUUGAGAGAGAGACCAGGAAGCCUGUAGCCUCAAUUGGCAGUGACAACUAUCCUACAGUUGUAAGGAGAAUGAGCCCUAUGACAAAGCUGAGUGGAGAGUCAGAGAAAAAUGGAGUCUAUGGUGACAUCAUUAGCACUUGGGCCUAUCCUGAAGCUUACCUUGCUAACAGAUUCUCUGUUAUAUCAACAAAUCCAGGUCUCUGUUCUUUAGGACAGAUUGUUUCUGCAGCUGAAAGAAUCUUAAGUGAUAAAUUGCUUACAUUUAAAUUCAUAAACAUUUAAAUACAGCAAUAAUUUUGGUCAAAUAUUUUCUCUUAGUAUCCUAAUUUCUUUUGGCUUAAUAUUCAAUACAAAUUCUGCGCUUUUAGCAUGGAAAUAAUUUAUGUAGUUUCUUGAAUUAAUGCAGAAUUGCCACUAAGUUUUAGCUAAAACUGCCUUUAUGUGUAUUAUGUCCCGUAGAGAAACAAAGUAAAUACAAGAGUUUCCCUUACUGAAAUGGCAGGGUCUCUAUCACUUACUCUGUGAAAUUGACCUGGGGAUGUUCUCUUCAUAAGUUGACUUAGGUUCUCUAAGAAUCACAUUUAUCAAAAUUUGCUUUUCUUGUUGGUGAAAGAUUUAUAAAACAGCAUCAGCCUCUUCUCUAGAGAAGCCAAGUUUUUAGCAACAUCCUUUAGAUUUCUAAGGAAAAUUGUCAGCUUAAAUUUUGUUGAAGCCAAAUUUUAUCAUUGUAGUCCCCCAUUUGGUUAUGAAAAGUAUUUGAUCCAUGUGUCACUAUGAGAGCAAUUUACUCCUGCAGAUAUGCAAUUUGAGAGUUUAUUUCCAAUAAGGAAGACUUGGUUUGAUGAUGAUAGGAACGUGAUGUUCUCUUUGGAAGGAAAUGCCGAUAUUAUCAGAUAUUCCUCAAAGUAUUUUAUGUACAUUUUCUCAGCCUCAUAGCAACACUAUGAGAUGUGUACUCUUUUUACAAUAAGGAAAUGAGACUGAGCAGCUAAGUAAUUUGCCCCAGGUGACAUAGCUAGUAAGUGUUUGAACAAGAUUUAAACCCAGGCAGUGUCUUGCAUUAGGCCAUGUCCUUACUGCUCUGCCACAAGGACAAGCCCCUGGCUUGAGACUGAAAAGAAUAGCCAGGAACUAUAAGCUUCUAAAAAUGCACAGAAUUCUGAAAAUCAGUGAGAAAAAAAUAUUCUGAGUAAGAAAAGGGGAGGCAUCUAAAGAAAAUAACAGCACAGCAAGCACUCCUGUGAGCUCAGAGUUAACAGGUGCACACGAACACAGCAACAGCUGCCCUGGUGGGAAUAGCCUCACAGAGUUAAACCCAGAAAUGCCAAGUCUUAUGAAAAAUUCCAAAAUCAACCAUUUAAAAGAUUUUAAAUGAUUUCCAGAGGUGGAGCCAUAAUAAUGAUGAUAGCUAACUCAGAGACUUUUCUACAUGGUUUCCCAACAUUGUUUUAUCUCAUCCUUAACAGCAAUCCUGUGAAGUUGACUGAUGAAGAAACUGAGGUUCUAAAUGGUCAACUAACUGACCAAGGGUCUCACAGUUUAUAAAUGGGGAAGCCAGCAUAUGAACCCAGGUGGUCCAACUUCAGAACCUGCAUUCCAAGGAUGUGCUGCAUCAAGGAAGGAAUAAGCCCAGUGCUCAGGAUGUUGGGAUGCUCCACAAAGGCAAGCAGAGUAGUAAAGAGGCCCCAUAAUAUAGUGGGAAAAACAGGAGCUCUGAAGUCAGAAGACCUGUGUUUAAGACCUGCGUCUUACAAGCUAUAUUAGUUGGCAGUUGUCCUUAACCUGUCUGAACCCCGUCUGUAUAAUGGGGUAAUUAUACCUGCCCUAGCCACCUCGCCAGGUUGUUGUGAAGAUCAAAUGGGGCUGUGUGUGUGAAAGUACAUUAUAAACCUUAAAGCCCCUUAUAAAUAUUGCCCCAUAUAAAUACGUUAUUGUACCAUCAUGAGAGGAAUAUGGCAUAAUAUAAAGAGCAUACAAAAGCUUUGUCUAGUCCGUGGGCAGAUGACCCCCAAAGUUUGUUUUCAGCUGCAAGCAGAGAUCUUGUAUGCAAAGCAGGGUUUUGAAAAACAACAACAUUGAAGAGUAUCAGUUUGAAUGUUGAUAAGUGUUUUAUAAAUAGCUGCAUAAUUAGCAUGUACUUACUGCAAAAAGUAUACAUAAUAUUUUAUUCCCUGUUGUAGGCUGUAAUGAAGCUGCUGCCUCUACAUCCUAGGAGGUUUUCACUUACUUUCCCCGUGAUAAUUUUAAUACGUGGAACCAUUAUUAGCUGAAUUAAGAAUAAGUAAAUGAGCAGUAAAAAAAAUACAGAAAAAUUACAGGUGCCUGUGGUGAGUAAGAUAAUAACUAGGUAAAAAUAUAUGAAAUAAUUACAGUGUUUGAACGGCAGAGCCGGCGUGAGGAAAAUGACUCAAUGGAAUAUGAAGCUUGCUGUUGGCAGGGUAGGAAUAACUGUAGCCUGCGCUGUGGCCUUCACCUCUUUGGAGUCUCAGCCCUAAUAGCUCACUGAGUACAGAUCCAUCUGUCCUCAGCUGCAUCUAUAUGACGCCAAAGGAGCUGAUGCAAUUCAAUGGAGAUUAGUCACUCUGAGAGUCUGUGGUCCUAAAGAUUAAAUACCCAAUAACUGAAAGAUUCUGUUUGAAAGAUGUCCCAGAUGUUUUGGUAUUUGUGUAGACUUAGUCACGCCAGUAACAUUGAAUAUGAACUUAUUUAGAAUGUAUCUAUGAUCUGUAUUUGACAUCCCGACAAAAUGGAAUUUUCGGUAAUUUAGAUAAAGGGUUUUAAAAAGCUGUGAUAUUUUUUAUUUUAUUUUAUUUUUUUAGAAAAUUGUAUUAUAUAGCACUCCAAACAGUGUGGUCAGCAAAUAUUUGAGGCUUUUUCUGUUUCCAUGUCCUUGAAUAGAAAAUGUGGAGAUCCACAAUGAGUUUAAGACAUGGUUCCUGCUGUUCAGGAUUCUGAUUUAAUGCUCCUGGAUAGUGCAAUAAGACAAAUUUUAUUACCAUAACAAGAGAAACUUCCAGUUAGGAUUUGAACAGUCAGUAGAUUUAAGAAUGUUUGGUUAGUAAUGGUGAGCCACUGCUUUCUAAAUUGACAGGUGUUGGAAAGAGAACUGGUUGAAACUAUAACAGAGAGGAUCUAAUUCAGACAUUAGAAAUUCUAUGCCUUCGUGACUAUCAGAUUGUCAAGGCUGCAACAGCUAACUCUUGAUUUUCUGUAUGUGCUUUGUCUUUGAGAAUUUAGGGGGAUCAAUUUCUACAUCUCAGAUGGAUUUUUCUGUUAUCCAACCUAACUCUGCUAUGCAAUAUGUGUUAGCAUAAAGGAAUAUUAGUGUCAGAUAAAACACAGCAGCAUACAGGUAAACAGAGUAUUGGGGGAAAUGAGAACUGAGUUCUAGUCUCAAGAAUUCCAUUGAUAAAUUUGGAAACAUCAUUUAUCUCAUUCUACUUCAGUUUCCUUACCUCUAAAAUGGUGGAGUUGAGAUAGAAUCAAAGGACUUCUGCAAUUCACAGAUUCUAUGAUUCUGUGAGUCAUCUGAAAUCAACUCAAUGUGUCAGUGAUGAGUUUGGCCACUUCGACUAUGAUGGCCUUCUUACGUGUGUUUAAAGUAACAACUCAGUGAAUAACUCUCGAUUCUCUUACAGACUUUUAACUAGCACUUCAUGAAAUACCAGAACCAUGUUAUCUUUCUGUGUCUCUUUUCCCCGUGAAUUCAAACAGCCAUAUUGCUUCUUACCUGAACCCGACAGUCCUGAUGUCAGGAGUUGUGGCCUUAUUCAAUAGAAGUAUUUCCUGAUCAUUUGACAAAAUUAUUGAAUUACUAUAUGUUUGAUGUCCUCUACUGAUGUACUGUUAACAUAGACACUGGCCAAGUAUAUACCUCAGAGAGUGUUCUUCAGAUGUUAAAAGUAUCUGAUGUGUGUGGUACGCAUUGAUAAUCCUUUCCAAAUUGUUAUUUGUCCUGGAGAAGAGUUACAUUUUUAAUCCACAUAGGAAUUUCACCAUCAAAUGGUUAAUACAUUAUUUCCGUUUUAACCAGAGAAGGUAAUGGUUUCUGCAACCUUCCUAAGGUGUUUGAAUUUAUGAACAUACUAUAUUUGAAAUGCUGGUUUUCGUAGGUUGCAUUUUUGACAUCCUAUUGAGACAAGGAACACAGUGGGAUGCUCUUUAUUCUUUGGCUACUGUCUGAAGGGAGUAUAGUUUUUCCCUCUCCGUAACUUUUUUGUAGGAGUUAAAUAAAAUCCAAAAAAAUCACAUGAGUCUUCUAAAACCCUGGGGAGAUUGUUAGGGCAAUAAGUUGAAGCCCUGGCACCUCACCUGUAACCAUUUCAGGUACAAUCAAUUACAUAUAACAUUCUUCUCUGUGUCCCUUAAGAAUCUGAUUCAACACACUGGUCAGGAACACAAAAGCAAACAAACCUUCAAGGGGAAAGUCAAGACUUUGUAAAACAAAUCUGUGCUUCCUUUUGUUUUUCCAGAGGCAAAAAUACUUCACUUUCGUGAGAACAGGGAGAAAGCUUCUUCCUAGUCCCUCUGGAUUCCAUCAGUGCUAGCUCCCAGGAAGCUGUGGAGUUACUCUUGUAGAGCUGAGGGUGCUCAGCCCUCGUUUAGGUAUUCAACACACUGAGUCAGCUCUAGGAAACUUGGAACUUUAGCCAAAAAAAAAAAAAA